GACGAACGCUGGCGGCGUGCUUAACACAUGCAAGUCGAACGGAAAGGCCCUGCUUUUGUGGGGUGCUCGAGUGGCGAACGGGUGAGUAACACGUGAGUAACCUGCCCUUGACUUUGGGAUAACUUCAGGAAACUGGGGCUAAUACCGGAUAGGAGCUCCUGCUGCAUGGUGGGGGUUGGAAAGUUUCGGCGGUUGGGGAUGGACUCGCGGCUUAUCAGCUUGUUGGUGGGGUAGUGGCUUACCAAGGCUUUGACGGGUAGCCGGCCUGAGAGGGUGACCGGCCACAUUGGGACGGAGAUACGCCCCAGACUCCUACGGGAGGCAGCAGUGGGGAAUAUUGCACAAUGGGCGGAAGCCUGAUGCAGCAACGCCGCGUGCGGGAUGACGGCCUUCGGGUUGUACCCCGCUUUCGCCUGUGACGAAGCGUGAGUGACGGUAAUGGGUAAAGAAGCACCGGCUAACUACGUG
rnacentral:rRNA from 1 species